rnacentral:rRNA from 1 species
AACGAACGCUGGCGGCAUGCCUAACACAUGCAAGUCGAACGAGACCUUCGGGUCUAGUGGCGCACGGGUGCGUAACGCGUGGGAACCUGCCCUUAGGUUCGGAAUAACUCCCCGAAAGGGGUGCUAAUACCGGAUAAUGUCUUCGGACCAAAGAUUUAUCGCCUUUGGAUGGGCCCGCGUUGGAUUAGCUAGUUGGUAGGGUAAAAGCCUACCACGGCGACGAUCCAUAGCUGGUCUGAGAGGAGGAUCAGCCACACUGGGACUGAGACACGGCCCAGACUCCUACGGGAGGCAGCAGUGGGGAAUAUUGGACAAUGGGCGAAAGCAUGAUCCAGCAAUGCCGCGUGAGUGAUGAAGGCCUUAGGGUUGUAAAGCUCUUUUACCCGGGAUGAUAAUGACAGUACCGGGAGAAUAAGCUCCGGCUAACUCCGUG